rnacentral:rRNA from 1 species
ACCAGACUCCUACGGGAGGCAGCAGUGGGGAAUAUUGCACAAUGGGGGGAACCCUGAUGCAGCGACGCCGCGUGGGUGAAGGAGUACUUCGGUACGUAAAGCCCUAUCAGCAGGAAAGAAAAUGACGGUACCUGACUAAGAAGCCCCGGCUAACUACGUGCCAGCAGCCGCGGUAAUACGUAGGGGGCAAGCGUUAUCCGGAUUUACUGGGUGUAAAGGGUGUAUAGGCGGGACUGCAAGUCAGAUGUGAAAACCACGGGCUCAACCUGUGGCCUGCAUUUGAAACUGUAGUUCUUGAGUACUGGAGAGGCAGACGGAAUUCCUAGUGUAGCGGUGAAAUGCGUAGAUAUUAGGAGGAACACCAGUGGCGAAGGCGGUCUGCUGGACAGCAACUGACGCUGAGGCGCGAAAGCGUGGGGAGCAAACAGGAUUAGAUACCCUUGUAGAG